rnacentral:rRNA from 2 species
AUUAGAGUUUGAUCAUGGCUCAGGAUGAACGCUGGCGGCGUGCUUAACACAUGCAAGUCGAACGAACCUUCGGGUUAGUGGCGGACGGGUGAGUAACGCGUGAGAAUCUGCCCUCAGGAGGGGGAUAACGGCUGGAAACGGCCGCUAAUACCCCAUAUGCCGAGAGGUGAAAUGAAUUUCGCCUGAGGAUGAGCUCGCGUCUGAUUAGCUAGUUGGUGGGGUAAAGGCCUACCAAGGCGACGAUCAGUAGCUGGUCUGAGAGGAUGAUCAGCCACACUGGGACUGAGACACGGCCCAGACUCCUACGGGAGGCAGCAGUGGGGAAUUUUCCGCAAUGGGCGAAAGCCUGACGGAGCAACGCCGCGUGAGGGAUGAAGGCCUCUGGGCUGUAAACCUCUUUUCUCAAGGAAGAAGAUCUGACGGUACUUGAGGAAUAAGCCACGGCUAAUUCCGUGCCAGCAGCCUCGGUAAUACGGGAGUGGCAAGCGUUAUCCGGAAUUAUUGGGCGUAAAGCGUCCGCAGGCGGCCUUGUAAGUCUGUCGUUAAAGCGUGGAGCUUAACUCCAUUUCAGCGAUGGAAACUACAAGGCUUGAGUGUGGUAGGGGCAGAGGGAAUUCCCGGUGUAGCGGUGAAAUGCGUAGAUAUCGGGAAGAACACCAGUGGCGAAGGCGCUCUGCUGGGCCAUAACUGACGCUCAUGGACGAAAGCCAGGGGAGCGAAAGGGAUUAGAUACCCCUGUAGUCCUGGCCGUAAACGAUGAACACUAGGUGUCGGGGGAAUCGACCCCCUCGGUGUCGUAGCCAACGCGUUAAGUGUUCCGCCUGGGGAGUACGCACGCAAGUGUGAAACUCAAAGGAAUUGACGGGGGCCCGCACAAGCGGUGGAGUAUGUGGUUUAAUUCGAUGCAACGCGAAGAACCUUACCAGGGUUUGACAUCCUGCGAAUCCCUUGGAAACGAGGGAGUGCCUUCGGGAGCGCAGUGACAGGUGGUGCAUGGCUGUCGUCAGCUCGUGUCGUGAGAUGUUGGGUUAAGUCCCGCAACGAGCGCAACCCACGUCGUUAGUUGCCAGCAUUCAGUUGGGCACUCUAGCGAGACCGCCGGUGAUAAACCGGAGGAAGGUGUGGAUGACGUCAAGUCAUCAUGCCCCUUACAUCCUGGGCUACACACGUACUACAAUGCUACGGACAAAGGGCAGCAAACUCGCGAGAGCUAGCAAAUCCCAUAAACCGUGGCUCAGUUCAGAUCGUAGGCUGCAACUCGCCUACGUGAAGGAGGAAUCGCUAGUAAUCGCAGGUCAGCAUACUGCGGUGAAUACGUUCCCGGGCCUUGUACACACCGCCCGUCACACCAUGGAAGUUGGCCACGCCCGAAGUCGUUACUCCAACCCUUGUGGAGGAGGACGCCGAAGGUGGGGCUGAUGACUGGGGUGAAGUCGUAACAAGGUAACCGUAGAAUC